GACGAACGCUGGCGGCGUGCUUAACACAUGCAAGUCGAACGGAAAGGCCUUUUCGGAGGUACUCGAGUGGCGAACGGGUGAGUAACACGUGGGUGAUCUGCCCUGCACUCUGGGAUAAGCCUGGGAAACUGGGUCUAAUACCGGAUAGGACCGCACUUUAGUGUGUGUGGUGGAAAGUUUUUUCGGUGUAGGAUGAGCCCGCGGCCUAUCAGCUUGUUGGUGGGGUAAUGGCCUACCAAGGCGGCGACGGGUAGCCGGACUGAGAGGUUGGUCGGCCACAUUGGGACUGAGAGACGGCCCAGACUCCGACGGGAGGCAGCAGUGGGGAAUAUUGCACAAUGGGCGCAAGCCUGAUGCAGCGACGCCGCGUGGGGGAUGACGGCCUUCGGGUUGUAAACUCCUUUCGCCAGGGACGAAGCGUUUUGUGACGGUACCUGGAGAAGAAGCACCGGCUAACUACGUG
rnacentral:rRNA from 1 species